AGAGUUUGAUCAUGGCUCAGGACGAACGCUGGCGGCGUGCCUAAUACAUGCAAGUUGAACGAUGAUUUCUGGUACUUGUAUCAGAAUGAAGAGUAGCGAACGGGUGAGUAACGCGUGGGUAACCUACCUCUUAGCGGGGGACAACUAUUGGAAACGAUAGCUAAUACCGCAUAACAAUAUUAAACACAUGUUUAAUAUUUGAAAGUACCAAUUGGUACACUAGGAGAUGGACCCGCGUUGUAUUAGCUAGUAGGUAGGGUAAAGGCCUACCUAGGCGACGAUACAUAGCCGACCUGAGAGGGUGAUCGGCCACAUUGGGACUGAGACACGGCCCAAACUCCUACGGGAGGCAGCAGUAGGGAAUCUUCGGCAAUGGACGAAAGUCUGACCGAGCAACGCCGCGUGAGUGAAGAAGGUUUUCGGAUCGUAAAACUCUGUUGUUAGAGAAGAACGUUGUGUAGAGUGGAAAAUUACACAAGUGACGGUAUCUAACCAGAAAGGGACGGCUAACUACGUGCCAGCAGCCGCGGUAAUACGUAGGUCCCGAGCGUUGUCCGGAUUUAUUGGGCGUAAAGCGAGCGCAGGUGGUUUAAUAAGUCUGAUGUAAAAGGCAGUGGCUCAACCAUUGUGUGCAUUGGAAACUGUUAGACUUGAGUGCAGUAGAGGAGAGUGGAAUUCCAUGUGUAGCGGUGAAAUGCGUAGAUAUAUGGAGGAACACCGGUGGCGAAAGCGGCUCUCUGGACUGUAACUGACACUGAGGCUCGAAAGCGUGGGUAGCAAACAGGAUUAGAUACCCUGGUAGUCCACGCCGUAAACGAUGAGUGCUAGUUGUUUGGGGCUAUCCAGCCCUAAGUGACGCAGCA
rnacentral:rRNA from 1 species